rnacentral:rRNA from 1 species
ACUUAAAUUGAAGAGUUUGAUCAUGGCUCAGAUUGAACGCUGGCGGCAGGCCUAACACAUGCAAGUCGAACGGUAGCACAGAGAGCUUGCUCUCGGGUGACGAGUGGCGGACGGGUGAGUAAUGUCUGGGAAACUGCCUGAUGGAGGGGGAUAACUACUGGAAACGGUGGCUAAUACCGCAUAACGUCGCAAGACCAAAGAGGGGGACCUUCGGGCCUCUUGCCAUCAGAUGUGCCCAGAUGGGAUUAGCUGGUUGGUGAGGUAACGGCUCACCAAGGCGACGAUCCCUAGCUGGUCUGAGAGGAUGACCAGCCACACUGGAACUGAGACACGGUCCAGACUCCUACGGGAGGCAGCAGUGGGGAAUAUUGCACAAUGGGCGCAAGCCUGAUGCAGCCAUGCCGCGUGUAUGAAGAAGGCCUUCGGGUUGUAAAGUACUUUCAGCGGGGAGGAAGGUGUUGUGGUUAAUAACCGCAGCAAUUGACGUUACCCGCAGAAGAAGCACCGGCUAACUCCGUGCCAGCAGCCGCGGUAAUACGGAGGGUGCAAGCGUUAAUCGGAAUUA